rnacentral:rRNA from 1 species
AAUCAACGCUGGCGGCGUGCCUCAGACAUGCAAGUCGAACGCGAAAGUCCCCUUCGGGGGACAAGUAGAGUGGCGCACGGGUGAGUAACACGUAGGUAAUCCACCUUCGGAUGGGGAAGUAACAACCGGAAACGGUUAGCUAAUACCGCAUAAUGCAGCGGCACCUAAUGGUGACAGUUGUUAAAGCGGGGGAUCGAAAGACCUCGCGUCUGAAGAGGAGCCUGCGGCGGAUUAGCAGUUGGUAAGGUAACGGCUUACCAAGGCGACGAUCCGUAGCCGGCCUGAGAGGGCGGUCGGCCACACUGACACUGACAUAC